rnacentral:tRNA from 1 species
UCCCUGGAGGUCCAGUGGUUAAGACUCUGUGCUUCCACUGCAAGAGGCACAGGUUCAAUUCCUGCUUAGGGAA